UGACAGACCUGGCAGCAGCAUCGCCCCAGUCUCCAUCACUGACAGACCUGGCAGCAGCAUCGCCCCAGUCUCCAUCACUGACAGACCUGGCAGCAGCAUCGCCCCAGUAUCCAUCACUGACAGACCUGGCCGCAGCAUCGCCUCUGUCUCCAUCACUGACAGACCUGGCAGCAGCAUCGCCCCAGUCUCCAUCACUGACAGACCUGGCAGCAGCAUCGCCCCAGUAUCCAUCACUGACAGACCUGGCCGCAGCAUCGCCUCUGUCUCCAUCACUGACAGACCUGGCAGCAGCAUCGCCUCUGUCUCCAUCAAUGACAUACCUGCCAGCAGCAUCGCCCCAGUUUCCAUCAAAAUGUCUUUGUACUUCAGGUUCAUCGUCUGAAGUUUUCGGUGGUGCAUUUUCUUGAGGAAAAUGAGGUGGAUGUGGCACCAUCAUUAUGGUUGGCGAAGAGCAAUGGGGUUCUGAAUUGCUAUUGGCCGGCAAAUAAUGCCAGCGUUCUGGCAAGACGCUGUGCUCUGCCCGACAAGGUACUUUGGAAAAAGUACAAAGUUCGCGUUUUCUCUACAACAGACAGCUACAGCCUGGCCAGGGAGAGGGCAAGAAAGGGGCAAG